AAAUACACAAAGAAAGAUAGAAAUACACUUUGCACCCCUGUUCCUCACAAUUUUCCAUCUGCCCUGCAUCUGUACUGUGCACACUGGAACAGAGGGAUGAUGCAUUACAGACAGACAAAAUCUGUGACGAGAUGUCAAGAGGCAGAUAUUCACAUUUUAUUUCAUUAUGAAAAGGUCCAAACCUUCAGGUGCACAAGGAAGAAAACGGACAAAAGAGGAGGAGGAAAAGAAAGCCCAAUAUAGGGAUGCACUUAGGAAAUACCUGCAGAAGCCUCUAGCUGCUGGAGAAGUUACAUCUGAUCUCCCAUCUACACCACUUUCUGAAGCAGCUACAGGUGAAGCAACAUCUAACAUCAUAUCAAACACUCCAGCUACCUGCAGUUAAACACAGCCUGCAGCAGAUUUGCCUGCAGGUGAGGGAACAACAGACACAACAUACACUGCUACUCUACAGCCUGCAGACACCAUCAACUGGAACAGAUCCUGAAGUAUGUGAGUCCAUCAAGGCAGCAGCUAUAGAUCCUGUCUGAUAUGGUGAGGACAGAGAUAGUCAGCAGAGGCCAUAUCAGGUCAAAUAAGACUCUACAUUUCCAAAAGGAAAAAAGGACCAAAUCCUUAUCUUGCCUAGGGCACCAAAAUGGCUAGAGCUGGCCCUGUACUUUAUUUUACAAAUUUUCAGAGUAAUUUGCAGAUGUUUAAUGGUUCAUUUUUAGGACAUUUUACAGAAAGGUUUGGUACAAAGUAUAAUAAACAACUUUAAAAAGUUAUUUUACUAACAGAAAAUAGUCAGUUUGACCAAGAUGGAGCAUGAUGGAGUGCUGCAUCAUAUGACCUGGCCUCCACAAUCACCUGUUGUAUGUGGUAUUUCAUAGUUUUGAUGUCUUCAGUAUUGCUCCACAGUGUAGAAAUUGUAUUCAUUAUUGGUGGAGAUAAUGUUUGAAAUGAUCUCCAUCAGGUCUUUUGGAUUACAAGGAUUUUAUCACAACCAUGACUGAAUGAUAACUUGAACAGUGGCUGAAAAUGCCUGUCGUUAUUAUAAUAAUAAUGAACUUAAUUUCUAAAGCACAGAAUGCAACACAAAGUUCUCAACAUAAAACCAAAGAAUUAUACCAUUCAAACAUUAUAUAUCAUUAUUAGACUAAUUAGUUAACUUAGUUAGUGAAUCCAGUUUAGUACGUUUACUGUAGUUGUCUCUGUAUGUGUGUAACAUUUGUUUUUCUUACACUCUGUCAGCUUUAACAACAGUCUGACCAGCGUGCGGUCCAGAAGAGACAUGACCUGGCUGUGGAAGUUUGCAGGCAGGAAGCCAUUUUGGAUCGGAAACACAUUUUCUUAUUUAGGAAAUUUCCCACUGCAUACCCAAAACAUCCCUUUUUACAUCUGUUGCAGGGUACAAAGUUUUAGUUUUCAGAUCACUCUGGUCUAGAUGGGAAGCAGCCAGAAGAUGGCAGCAGAACUCCAAAGAUCCUCAACAAUGAUCCAAUAUACAGUCAGUAUAAUGACAGUCGUGACUGUAUUCCCCUACAGUUCCCCAUAAGAAGCUCCAGGUUUAAGAAAAACAAACAAACAAAACCACACAGUCUGACAUCUAUUCUGUAUCAGGCUGUUCCAGCUCUACACUGAAGCUACAUGUUUAAAGAGAGUAAAAUAUUUAAACCAAGACAUGUUUUUUUUGUUUGUUUUUUUAGGUCUGAACCAUUCCAUUAAUGGAAAUAUUCAAGAUUUCUUUUGCAUUAUUUCACAUGCAUUUCUCCAGAAUUUAGCCUGACACAUUUUAUUUAUAGGGAAUCUCUUGACUAUUUCACCUGAAAUCCCUGAAAACUUAGAUAUUUAUUGUAACAGUAAUUUUAAAAGAAUCAAUUUCAAACCUUAGAAAAAUCUAAGAGACUACAAAUAUGUGCAUUUGUCCAUACGUCCUUCUGCAAAACAAGGCAGGUUUAUUAAGCACAUUUAGAGAAGGUGAAACAAAUUUAAAGAAUACACCAAAUUUUUCCAAUUUCAAACACAUUAAAAUAUUGUUAAUCAUGAGGUUUAUAAAAAGUUGACUAUCGUGUACAUCCUAUCAGAAUGCUUGAAGAUAAAGUCAGAAGAUUCAUCCUCUUGAACAAUGAACAAAAGUUUAUUUUCUCCAAAAUCAAAGGAUUUGCAUUCAUGAACAUAAAGGGAGAGAAAAAACACACACAUGGGCUUUUGAAUCUGAAAGAAAACAAAGACAAGAUUCAAGUUCAAUUAGUCUCACAUGUCCAUUGAAAACCCCACGAGCUGGAUCUCCACAAGCUGCUCCACUGAAACUCAACACACAUUAAUCUGUUCAUCGCCGGCUCAAGUUCACUGAGAGAUAUUUACUGCUAUCAGCCCCGUCAUAACAACCUGUGUGAAUCCUGUGUUGAAGUCAUAUUUAAUGCAAUGUACAUUAGUUUUUAUAUUUUUGUCAUAAUAAAGAUUGCUGCACAAAUUGAAAUAUGUGGAUGAAAAUCUGCAGUUUAACUUUAUGUAUGAGGUUUAAAUUCAGCUUUCUGCAUAAAACCGAGGUAAAUCUGUCUAUUUCCUCAAGUACACAUGUUUUUGUCAUGAGAAAUAAUAAAUAGCACCUGUCUGGAGUCUACAAAGAAGAACUGAAUGAACUCUCCAAUAUUUAAAAAUACGAAAAAAUUAUAAAGACCUGUUAGCAGCUGGUUCUUGUUUUGUUGUAAAGGUAAUUAAAAAUUUUCAUCGAUACUGUGAGGAAAUGAUGUUAUCUUCUGAAAGAGCCUUGGUGUUUAAAGACCUCAGCUCACUUCCAGAAGAUCUGUCAAAGUCACAAUUUACCGUUCAAUCAGCAGAGUUUCAGUCUGCAAAAACAUGUUUAUGCACAGAACUUCAUUCAUUCUAAAUGGAAAUAGUCGGAUAUGCUUGAACUACUUCUAUUUUUCUUUCACUUAGGACUUUAUUCACUUACUAAAAGGUUUUGUAACUGUUACAUUCUUCCAGUUGGCAACUUACCUACUGAGCUGAUUGAGGCUGCAGUUCAGGCAGCCAGGUGUCUAGGUUUAAAAUAAAAAGCUUACUGUAUUUACCUUAUGUAUCCAAAAUAUACAGCAAACAGACCUGCAGUGAAGAACUACAACAUCACAUUCAUUACGUUUAAGUUUAUUUGUUGUAUUGUGAAACGGUCAGCAGAGGGCAGCACAACACCACCGAUACUCCUGAUGACUCCAUCAAUACUGCGCUGAUUCGAUCACAUCAAUAAAAAACAGAAAAACAGCUGAUACAGAAAUAAUAAACAUAAAUGAUUAUGCUGUUGGCUUCUAGAGCGCACAAGAGUUGGUCCGUUUUUCUGGGAAUGAAGCAAACUACUUCCAAGAAUGAGGAGUCUAUUGUAACAUCUGUCCAAGGCUACACAUGAAAACUAGCCUUCAACUACUGUUAGAAGGUUGACGCCCCACCGUUUCCAUGCAACUCUACUGUUUGGGAAGAGUUUGACAAGUUACAUCACAGAUCUUGGACAAUGACAUGUCAGCAUUCAGCUGUACCCAACCACAUGUGGCUGAGAGUUUCGUCUGCAGUCCUUACAUCUUUUAAGAAACCACAAAGAAAUUCGGACCAAAUGAAGUUUCACUUUUUAGUUUGUGCCUGAACUUAACCAUACAUAUGUUUUGUGAACUGACAUGAACCUGCUGUCAUUCCAGUAUGAUAUGGUUCUUAUGUCAUUUCAAUUUGACUUCCAGGAUGACACAGUCCCUAUGUCCCCCCGCCCCCCCUCCACCAC